UACGUAGGGUGCAAGCGUUAAUCGGAAUUACUGGGCGUAAAGCGUGCGCAGGCGGUGAUGCAAGACAGAGGUGAAAUCCCCGGGCUCAACCUGGGAACUGCAUUUGUGACUGCAAGGCUGGAGUACGGUAGAGGGGGAUGGAAUUCCGCGUGUAGCAGUGAAAUGCGUAGAUAUGCGGAGGAACACCGAUGGCGAAGGCAAUCCCCUGGACCUGUACUGACGCUCAUGCACGAAAGCAUGGGGAGCGAACGGG
rnacentral:rRNA from 1 species